CUUAGUACAACAUUGGAUUCCAGCUAGUUUCUUCCUUGGUCAAAUUAAAGGAAAGACAUGUUUGGGUGCAUUUAUUUAUUAUAUUUAUAUACUCUUGGCCCUGACAUUGCAAAACUAAUUCUAUGGGCUCAGGCCUACUAAAAGUGAAGAUCUACCAAGAAUCCAACAAAAUGAAAAGGGAAAUGAGAAAAAAAUACCAACUUAACACAGCAGUAGACUUUAAUUAUCCAGGUAAUUAUAUUCAGAAUACAGGUAGUCCUUGAUUUACAUCUGUAAUUAAGCUUGGAAUUAUAGUUGUACUUAAUGGUAGUUGCUAAGUGGGUUGAUGGCUCUUUUUGCAGUAGUUAUUAAGUGAGCACCACAUUCAUUAAGUGAACCUGAUUUCUUCAAUGAGCGUUUUUUGCCAGAUGCUGGAAGUAAAAUGUCGGAAACUGUUAAAGCCACCAAAAAUCAUCACACAACUGGACAUUGCAAACAGCCAAAUGUGUGACCCAGUUGCCA